rnacentral:rRNA from 1 species
GACGAACGCUGGCGGCGUGCCUAAUACAUGCAAGUAGAACGCAGAUGCGAACGGGUGAGUAACGGGUAGGUAACUGCCUCAUAGCGGGGGAUAACUAUUGGAAACGAUAGCAAAUAACGCAUACUGUGAGAUUGACCUACGUGGUAUUAGCUAGUUGGUGAGGUAAAGGCCUACCAAGGCGACGAUACAUAGCCGACCUGAGAGGGUGAUCGGCCACACUGGGACUGAGACACGGCCCAGACUCCUACGGGAGGCAGCAGUAGGGAAUCUUCGGCAAUGGGCGGAAGCCUGACCGAGCAACGCCGCGUGAGUGAAGAAGGUUUUCGGAUCGUAAAGCUCUGUUGUUAGAGAAGCGGUACCUAACCAGAAAGGGACGGCUAACUACGUGCCAGCAGCCGCGGUAAUUC